GUGUCAGCCGCCGCGGUAACACGGGGGGAGCAAGCGUUGUCCGGAUUUACUGGGCGUGAAGCGCGCGUAGGCGGUCCACUAAGUCGGCUGUGAAAGCGCUGGGCUCAACCCAGCAAGGUCAGUCGAUACUGGUGGACUCGAGUCCGGGAGAGGGAAGCGGAAUUGCUGGUGUAGCGGUGGAAUGCGUAGAUAUCAGCAAGAACACCGGUGGCGAAGGCGGCUUCCUGGACCGGCACUGACGCUGAGGCGCGAAAGCUAGGGGAGCGAACCGGAUUAGAUACCCGGGUAGUCCUAGCUGUAAACGAUGGUCACUAGGUGUUGGGGGUAUCGACCCCCCCAGUGCCGCAGCUAACGCAUUAAGUGACCCGCCUGGGGAGUACGGCCGCAAGGCUGAAACUUAAAUGAAUUGACGGGG
rnacentral:rRNA from 1 species